CUAGGUACAACACUUCUAAUAAGACCAUCUAUAGUCGGUUAAGUAUUCAGUAUUUGACAAGCUUUUUACAGCCAAACCCUAGAAACUUCCCCAUUUGGCAAAGAUUUUCUUUAUAUUCUCUGCAGUAUUUGGUACUUUGAACACAACAGACCCACGGAUUGAUUCUUCUCCAGAACACUUGAUACAGGUUUACUAGACAAACAAAAGUUUGGUUUGUAGGGUGACACAUUCAGCUCCUUGACAUGGCAGGCCAGAGGAACAACUACGGUAAGAGAAUGCAAUCGGAAUCUGACUAUUCAAGGAGUGAUGGAAGUAAGAGAAGGACUCCAACUGAUGAAAAGGAAUCAAAUUCCAUUGGACCAGAGGAUACUGUUUUUCGUUAUUUAUGCCCCACAGGAAAAAUUGGAAGUAUCAUUGGAGUUGGUGGGGACAUUGCAAAACAACUGAGGACAGAAACUAAUUCAAAGAUUAGGAUUAGCGAGACCAUACCUGGCUGCGAGGAGCGUGUGGUAACUAUUUAUAGUGGAAGUGAAGAAACUAAUGUCUCUGAAGAUACUGGUGACCUGAUUUCACCUGCUCAAGAUGCUCUAUUCAGGGUGCAUGACAGAGUCCUUGCUGAAGACCUGCGUAUGGACGAAGAUCUGGAGGAUCAUCAGCAGAUUACUGUAAGGAUGCUUGUCCCAUCAGAUCAGAUAGGUUGUGUGAUAGGGAAAGGUGGACUAGUGAUCCAGAAUUUACGAAGUGAAACAGGUGCGCAGAUUCGGGUGUUAAGCAGUGAGCACUUGCCCCCUUGUGCUCUAAACUCGGAUGAGCUUCUCCAGAUAACCGGUGAAGGUGCAGUUGUUAAGAAAGCACUUUAUCAAGUAGCAGCACGCCUCCAUGAUAAUCCAUCACGGUCCCAACAUCAAUUGCUGUCGUCACCCAGCAUAUUUAGGUCUGGUGCUGGACUUGUUAAUCCUCAUGCUGGUACACAAGUCAUGGGUGUGACAUCAUUGAUGGGUCCUUACGCAAGUUACAAAAGUGAUGGUAGAAGUAGAUCUUCUUCUGUAAAAGAGUUUGCAGUUCGUUUGGUUUGUCCAACUGAGAAUGUAGGAGCUGUAAUUGGCAAAGGUGGAGGCAUUAUCAAACAGCUAAGACAGGAAUCAGGUGCAUCUAUUAAAGUCGAUAGUGCUGCAGCUGAGGGAGAUGAUUGCAUUAUAUUUGUAUCAGCAAAGGAGGCAUUUGAAGAUCAAUCCCCUACCAUCGAUGCAACAAUGCGUUUGCAACCGAGAAGUAGUGAGAAAACUGAAAAAGAAUCCGGUGAUGCUAUUCUUACGACUCGCCUGCUUGUACCUAGUUCACGAGUUGGAUGCCUUAUUGGUAAAGGUGGUUCCAUUAUCAAUGAGAUGCGGAAUUCCACAAGGGCAAGCAUCCGCGUUCUUUCGAAGGAAAAUCUUCCCAAAGUGGCAUCCGAAGAUGACGAGAUGGUGCAGAUUACUGGAGAUGCUAAUGUUGCUGCCAAUGCGUUAUUGCAAGUACUUAUGCGUUUGAGGGCCAAUACAUUUGAGAUGGAGGGAUCUUUUCCUGCAUUUUCUCCUGGCCUUUCUUAUGUCCCCAUGUCUGCAAGCAUGCCAGAUGGCUCAAGAUAUGGUAACCGUGAUAAUAGAUCACGUCGGCAUGGUUAUUCAUCUUAUUCAGGUGGACAUGAUUACAAUGAUUUGUCUCCAAGUGAUAAUUAUGGUGGCUCACAGGUUGGUGGUGGAGGUAAUUAUGCACCAUAUGGCGUUUAUUCCUCUGGGCGACCUAGCAGUGCAGGGGUUUCCAGCCAUAACCCUUCUGCCUAUGGAAAAUCUUAUGGAUACUAGGGUGUAGAGGGUUAUUAGCAGCCGGAGCUAUCAUCUCCGAUGCCUGUUCCAGCCCAUUGCCCGCCCCUUUUGACGAAGCCUCCAGCCUAAGAACAGAGGACCAGACGAACAAGAUAGAGAAACUUGUGGCCAUCCUUGCCCUAGUAUUUCUGUUUCUUAGGUGUUACCAGCAUAUAUAUUGUAAUGAAACAACGCCUCUUAGUCAUUGAAGGCCUUUUGUACCCAAAAUACCUCUGCUUUAGUGGUUUUGUGUAGCAGACUAAGCCAUGACAGUUUGAUGUGGUGGUUCUUUACUUUUUGUUUGUUUGUUUGUGUUCUUAAGAACUUUUGUGACGUUUCCUGUUGACCAGUUAUGCUACAGGAUUGAACCUUCUAUUGCUUUCUCUUGCAUCGAUUUUUUUUCAUGUUUUCUUGACAGCUUUCCAGUUAUUGAACAAAAGUUCAAGAAAGUCAGGUUUCUGCAUUUCAGGAGGAAAUGAUGGUGUUGGUCACUGCUUGAUGUGUGAUCAUUUUAUGUGAUCGAUUCUGCAGAGGAUUGAUAGAAAAUUUAGUUCUUAUGAUUAGAUUCCUACUAAGGUAAGUACUAUUCUUUCUUGCAAAUGUUAUUUCUUACACCGUGAGACAGAUAUAUUAUUUUGGUAGGAACAUACACAUCCUACUGUGAAAACAUUUCAGGAGGAAAGAAAGCUCUAUCACGUGUAUUGCCAACUGCUUUUUGCCCUUUGGAGGGCUUCAUGAAGCUUACAGUAAUGAAUUACUGGGGUUCCAUGUCUUACAUAAGUGUUAUUCCAUCAACUUUUAUUCAUUAUUUGAGCAUGGAUUCUCUUUGCUCCGCGCUGUUUGUUAGGAGUUCUGCACUGUACUUUCAGAGCCGGUCCAGUUUCUUAUGUUGUUUGUUGGACGGCUGAGUGUAAUUACCCUUUAGUGUGGCCUUUGAAUGGUCCAUUUAAAGCAUUCUUCUAAGUAAUUGAUUCGAUGUAAUAGAGUAAAAGCUCACACCUCUCUAGUUAUAAGGUACUAAAUCAUUACCACCACCAGGAGGUGGGUGGGAAUUUGGGAUCCCUCCAUGUUCAACCGGAGAUCGCAUUCGAGCCCUGAAAAUGGUGGCAUGAAGUUGAAUUAGUUGGGUCAGUGAGCUUCACAAGCCAUUGAAGCGACUUAUUCCUGGAAAUGUUAAAAAUAAAGAAAUUGUUAAGAGUUGUAUUGUCAUUUCUAUUUAGUCCCAACAGGAUUCAUAUGUAAAGAUACUGGUCUUGUUGAGUUGAUAAUGAGACUAUUUUCAUUGUUGA